UGUUCAUUCCUGUCUAUUGCACUUACACGUGUCUGGUGCUAAAUAUGACACCACACAGGUGCACUCGUAUAAAGAAUACAGGUUUAAACUUGUUAAAACAUGACAUUGAUUCAAAGCAUACGAGUCUUUAUUGAGUACUGUUACAUUAAACUAUUUCACUUCCUUCGUCAUUGCGCUGUCCGUUGUCGAAGUGGUAACAUCUCAUCAAAAAAUAAAACAUUAUCAUCAAUAAUGUGUGAUUCUCCUGACAUUCGUUUCUCACAAUACGCUCAAGGUUUUCCUACUCCAAGUUUGAGCUGGCAUACACCAGAGCCACAACCUCGUGCGAGUAAGAAGCCUAGAGUGAGACGUCAAAAGCAAAAGCAGACUCCAGUGUACCAAUCGUUCGUCAUCAACAAUGAGAAGAAAAAAGGAGUACGGCUCAUUCAAGUACAAGUGUUGGACAUUAAUGAACAACAAAAACCUGCAACCCCUGACGGAGAAGUGCUAGUGAUGAGUGCGCAAUACGUUGUGACUGAGCCUGUGGACUAUAUAAUGGACGAGACACAGGCAUUAAUAAAUAAAAUAUCCAAAAAACUUUGUGAAGACUA